AUGCCUGAAUGUAAAGCAGUUGCAAGAGCAAAUGGGAAAUUCCUACAUAAACUCGUGUUGAAGAUUAACCUAGGAAAUGCUGGCUUGCAACCACUGAAUGGGUUUCUGAGGAAGAAAGCACAUCCCUUCUCAGGCCCAUCUCGGAAGAUCUCACUGGCCUUUCCCCGUGGGUGCUGCAGGGCAGCAGCUGAAGGCCGGCUCUGCCUUCCCGGACAUUUUCCCUGGUUGGUCCCAGCACGGAGGCGAGGAAGGAGUGGGGAACUGAAAUCUGUGUUUUCUGGAGCAGGCGGUGCCUGCAGGGCUCUGGCGAGGUUCAGCAACACCAGUGCGGAGGCAAAGAAACCAAAGUGCGCACCUGAGAAAAACCACGGAUGGGAUGAGCCGGAGAGUAGCCCCGACCUUGUCCUUUAAAAAUAAUAUAUAUUUUUUUUUUUAUUUAUACCUCGUCUUCCACCCCCCUCAGCCGAUGGAGGAGGGCGGGCAGCCCUCCCCGGCAGCGCCCGGGGCCGCUAAUUGCUGUAAUUUGCAAGAAGGGAAGUGCCACCUAGCGGCUGCGGCCGCACCGAUUUAUUUCUCGGGCCCCGCACGGGCUGCUCCUAAUUCGUUAUCGGGUGCCAGUGGGAAUGGUGGCACCAGGCAAGCACAGGGGGCCUCCUAGUCUAAUUUAGAAGGGACAAUAGAGCCCGGAGACCCAAGAUGGAUAUCCCGAGCGCAGACGCAUUCCUUUUAAUUCUGUUUGGUUUACGAAAUAGGAAUUCCUCUAGGAAACCUCAACAAAGAGGUGGAUUAAUGAGAACCCUAGCAGAGAGUGUUUGCUGUAUAAGCAAUUCCAAGCCUAAGUAAAGCAAGGGGCAAAGUCUGAUCAGCGUUCAGUACCAAACUCAAAUAAAUUCUGACAGAAGUGGGUGAAAAAUGCACCAGCUGCAGGUCAGCACAAAAUGCUAACAGCCCUCUAACACUGGCCUGCCUAUUUUCAUUAAAAAGCAAACAGGGAGAAAAACAAACAUGUAUUUCUCCCCUGCCUUUUGUCGUUCUCUGGUGUUUG
rnacentral:lncRNA from 1 species